rnacentral:rRNA from 1 species
GACGAACCGUGCGAACGUUGUUCGGAAUCACUGGGCUUAAAGGGCGCGUAGGCGGCGGGUCGAGUCCGGGGUGAAAGCCCCCAGCUUAACUGGGGAAGGGCCUCGGAGACUGGUCCGCUCGAGGGAGGUAGGGGUCGCGGGAACUUCCGGUGGAGCGGUGGAAUGCGUAGAGAUCCGGAAGAACACCGGUGGCGAAGGCGGUCUGCUGGGCAGUUGCUGACACUGAGGCGCGACAGCGUGGGGAGCAAACAGG